CCUACGGGCGGCAGCAGUAGGGAAUUUUCGUCAAUGGGCGCAAGCCUGAACGAGCAAUGCCGCGUGAACGAGGAAGGUCUUCGGAUCGUAAAGUUCUGUUGAAGGGGAAAAAGAGCGGAGAGAGGAAAUGGUCUCCGAUUGAUAUUACCCUUCCAGGAAGUCACGGCUAACUACGUGCCAUCAGCCGCGGUAAUACGUAGGAGGCGAGCGUUAGCCGGAAUGAUUUGGCGUAAAGGGUGCGUAGUCGGACUGCUAAGUCUGGGGUGAAAGGUACCGGCUCAACCGGUAUAGGCUCUGGAAACUGGCGGGCUAGAGAGCAGGAGAGGGCGGUGGAACUCGAUGUGUAGCGGUAAAAUGCGUAGAUAUAUGGAAGAACACCAGUGGCGAAGGCGGCCGCCUGGCCUGUUACUGACGCUGAGGCACGAAAGCGUGGGGAGCAAAUAGGAUUAGAUACCCGAGUAGUC
rnacentral:rRNA from 1 species